rnacentral:rRNA from 1 species
GGUCAAGCGAACAAGUGCAUGUGGUGGAUGCCUUGGCGAUCACAGGCGAUGAAGGACGCGGUAGCCUGCGAAAAGCUACGGGGAGCUGGCAAACGAGCUUUGAUCCGUAGAUGUCCGAAUGGGGAAACCCGGCCCUUUUGGGUCAUCCUGGACUGAAUACAUAGGUCCAGAGAAGCGAACGCGGUGAACUGAAACAUCUAAGUAACCGCAGGAAAAGAAAUCAACCGAGAUUCCCAAAGUAGUGGCGAGCGAAAUGGGAUGAGCCUUGCACUCUUUAUUUGUAUUGUUAGCCGAACGCUCUGGAAAGUGCGGCCAUAGCAGGUGAUAGCCCUGUAGGCGAAAACAGUAUGAAAGAACUAGGUGUGCGACAAGUAGGGCGGGACACGUGAAAUCCUGUCUGAAGAUGGGGGGACCAUCCUCCAAGGCUAAAUACUCGUGAUCGACCGAUAGUGAACCAGUACCGUGAGGGAAAGGCGAAAAGAACCCCGGGAGGGGAGUGAAAUAGAUCCUGAAACCGCAUGCAUACAAACAGUCGGAGCCUCGCAAGGGGUGACGGCGUACCUUUUGUAUAAUGGGUCAGCGACUUACGUUCAGUAGCAAGCUUAACCGUAUAGGGCAGGCGUAGCGAAAGCGAGUCCGAAUAGGGCGUUCAGUUGCUGGGCGUAGACCCGAAACCAGGUGAUCUAUCCAUGGCCAGGAUGAAGGUGCGGUAACACGUACUGGAGGUCCGAACCCACUAACGUUGAAAAGUUAGGGGAUGAGCUGUGGAUAGGGGUGAAAGGCUAAACAAACCUGGAAAUAGCUGGUUCUCUCCGAAAACUAUUUAGGUAGUGCCUCGUGUCUCACCUUCGGGGGUAGAGCACUGUCAUGGUUGGGGGGUCUAUUGCAGAUUACCCCGCCAUAGCAAACUCCGAAUACCGAAGAGUGCAAUCACGGGAGACAGACAUCGGGUGCUAACGUCCGGUGUCAAGAGGGAAACAACCCAGACCGCCAGCUAAGGUCCCCAAAUAUAGCUAAGUGGGAAACGAAGUGGGAAGGCUAAAACAGUCAGGAGGUUGGCUUAGAAGCAGCCACCCUUUAAAGAAAGCGUAAUAGCUCACUGAUCGAGUCGUCCUGCGCGGAAGAUGUAACGGGGCUAAGCUAUAUACCGAAGCUGCGGAUGCG